rnacentral:lncRNA from 1 species
AUUUGACUGGGCUAAUGAAACUGACUUUUCCAGGGAAAAUAUAUCCAUAAAUUUGAUAAUUAGCUAUCGAUAAAUUAUUUUAAGUUGGGAAAGUAGGUGACUGAUGAAAUGUCAACAUUAUGAACUCUUACACCUACUUAUUCAAAUGACAACGUUUCAGUUUUGUGUUACAGAAAGGAGAAAUCCAGUAUUUAAUAUAAUGAUAAUAUUGGAAAAGAAAGUCAGUUUUCUCCCUGGUGAUAUUUAUCCCUGAAGAGAAUAGUAGAGAGGCAUGCGGUCAUCCUUGUGCAUUUAAAUAUUUAGAAUGCUGACAUGUCAAACAGUUCCAUGGGCUUUUUUCACGAGUAACUAGUAGGAAAUAUUAAAUAACUCAAAUUAUUUAGUCAAGAAAAGAAAAAUUAAACAAAGUACAUGAUAAAGUUAUUAAAGGUCUUAAUGAAUAUGAAUAUUAAUAGUACUUCUCUGUUUUUUUUAGAAGAAAAUAAAAAGAAAAGGUCUAAACCAGUAGGCCAUUAAUCUGUCCUUUUUAUUCAAAGAUUCGGCAACACACCAGUGCAA